AUGUAACACACGCACGCUGCGGUGCUGAGCGCGCCGCCCGCACCCACCUGACGACCGCCCGCGAGAUCGUGUUUAGCC
rnacentral:sRNA from 1 species